GAUGAACGCUGGCGGCGUGCCUAAUACAUGCAAGUCGAGCGAACAGAUAAGGAGCUUGCUCCUUUGACGUUAGCGGCGGACGGGUGAGUAACACGUGGGUAACCUACCUAUAAGACUGGGAUAACUUCGGGAAACCGGAGCUAAUACCGGAUAACAUUUGGAACCGCAUGGUUCUAAAGUUAAAGAUGGUUUUGCUAUCACUUAUAGAUGGACCCGCGCCGUAUUAGCUAGUUGGUAAGGUAACGGCUUACCAAGGCAACGAUACGUAGCCGACCUGAGAGGGUGAUCGGCCACACUGGAACUGAGACACGGUCCAGACUCCUAAGGGAGGCAGCAGUAGGGAAUCUUCCGCAAUGGGCGAAAGCCUGACGGAGCAACGCCGCGUGAGUGAUGAAGGGUUUCGGCUCGUAAAACUCUGUUAUUAGGGAAGAACAAACGUGUAAGUAACUGUGCACGUCUUGACGGUACCUAAUCAGAAAGCCACGGCUAACUACGUG
rnacentral:rRNA from 1 species